AUACCUUUCUCGGCCUUUUGGCUAAGAUCAAGUGUAGUAUCUGUUCUUAUCAGUUUAAUAUCUGAUACGUGGGCCAUUGGCUCACAUGAUAUUAAAUUUAUUUUUUGAGGGGGAGGGUCCGUCACAGUAGCUUGCUAUUGGGACUCUUAAGCGUCGCCCAAGCGUUGCACUAUUGCUCGGGCCUGGCGCACCCCAC
rnacentral:snRNA from 1 species